rnacentral:lncRNA from 1 species
CGCUAGCGUAACCUGUCCUCCCAGUUUCUCUGAAGUGCUGAACCGGCAGUGACCUGGCCUCACCUUCUGCCAUGGCAGGGACGGGGGACUGGAGGCCUGAUGGCCGUCUCUGUCACCCUGAUGUUGGGCACCAAAGUUGGAUGCAUGAAACCAGGCAGCAUGACAAACAUCCCCAAGGAAGACAGGUGCUUUGCAUCAAGAACAACGCUAUGACACCAGGCUCUCCUGAAAGGGACAUGGGACUGGAGUUAUGCUCUUCAGAUGUCUCCUGCUGCAGAGCUACAGGUUCUCAUGAGAUGGUAAGCAGCAACUCUUUGACAUCAUAGAGCAACUUUUCAGGAGCAUUUGAUUUUGUUAGUGGAGAAAUCUUUCUAAUUGUGGAUAUAAAUUUUCUGAU